UGGGGAAUCUUAGACAAUGGGGGAAACCCUGAUCUAGCCAUGCCGCGUGAUCGAUGAAGGCCUUAGGGUUGUAAAGAUCUUUCAGCUGGGAAGAUAAUGACUGUACCAGCAGAAGAAGCCCCGGCUAACUCCGUGCCAGCAGCCGCGGUAAUACGGAGGGGGCUAGCGUUGUUCGGAAUUACUGGGCGUAAAGCGCACGUAGGCGGACCAGAAAGUCAGGGGUGAAAUCCCGGGGCUCAACCCCGGAACUGCCUUUGAAACUCCUGGUCUUGAGGUCGAGAGAGGUGAGUGGAAUUCCGAGUGUAGAGGUGAAAUUCGUAGAUAUUCGGAGGAACACCAGUGGCGAAGGCGGCUCACUGGCUCGAUACUGACGCUGAGGUGCGAAAGCGUGGGGAGCAAACA
rnacentral:rRNA from 1 species